GAUGAACGCUGGCGGCGUGCCUAAUACAUGCAAGUCGAGCGAACGGACGAGAAGCUUGCUUCUCUGAUGUUAGCGGCGGACGGGUGAGUAACACGUGGAUAACCUACCUAUAAGACUGGGAUAACUUCGGGAAACCGGAGCUAAUACCGGAUGAUAUUUUGAACCGCAUGGUACAAAAGUGAAAGACGGUCUUGCUGUCACUUAUAGAUGGAUCCGCGCUGCAUUAGCUAGUUGGUAAGGUAACGGCUUACCAAGGCAACGAUGCAUAGCCGACCUGAGAGGGUGAUCGGCCACACUGGAACUGAGACACGGUCCAGACUCCUACGGGAGGCAGCAGUAGGGAAUCUUCCGCAAAGGGCGAAAGCCUGACGGAGCAACGCCGCGUGAGUGAUGAAGGUCUUCGGAUCGUAAAACUCUGUUAUUAGGGAAGAACAUAUGUGUAAGUAACUGUGCACAUCUUGACGGUACCUAAUCAGAAAGCCACGGCUAACUACGUG
rnacentral:rRNA from 1 species